GAUGCUAAUACCGGGACAACAACAGAUGAUGCCUAUCAACUGUUUAAAAGAUGGUUCUGCUAUCACUCUUGGGAUGGACCUGCGGUGCAUUAGCUAGUUGGUAGGGGUAACGGCCUACCAAGGCGAUGAUGCAUAGCCGAGUUGAGAGACUGAUCGGCCACAUUGGGACUGAGACACGGCCCAAACUCCUACGGGAGGCAGCAGUAGGGAAUCUUCCACAAUGGACGCAAGUCUGAUGGAGCAACGCCGCGUGAGUGAAGAAGGGUUUCGGCUCGUAAAACUCUGUUGUUGGUGAAGAAGGACAGGGGUAGUAACUAACCUUUGUUUGACGGUAAUCAAUUAGAAAGUCACGGCUAACUACGUGCCAGCAGCCGCGGUAAU
rnacentral:rRNA from 1 species